rnacentral:pre_miRNA from 2 species
GGAAACUUGGAAACUACCGUUGGAUCGAAAAAUAGACAUCCGUGAUUCAUCCAUGUCAUCAUGAGUAAAAGUUUUACUUGCGAUAAAAUUUUUACUUAUGACUAAAUCCGUGAGUAAAAUUUUUAUUCGUGAUGACGUGAACAAAUCUCAAACAUCUAUUUUUCGAUUUAACGGUAGUUUCCAGAUUUCC